GGGGGGGGGGGGGGGUCUUAAAGGGAAGGGGGGGGGGGGGGGGGGGGGGGGGCGCCGUCCUUAGCUAAAAUAUAAAUAUCUGCGUCGUACAAAGGCAGCUCCAGCAGCUCCGAUCCCACCUCGUUUUGUUUUUUUUUUGUUUUUUUUUCUCUUUUUUUCUUUUUUUUUUUUUUUAUAUCUCAAAGCAAAACGAGAAAAAUAAAACUUAAAAAGUUUCUGAGGUUUUCGUUUCUUUUUUUUUUUUUUUUUUUUUUUUUUUUUUUUUUUUUAAUAUCCGAUAGAAAAAAAGGCUACUUUGAGACGGGGGGGGGGGGGUGGGAAGAAGGGGGGGAGGGGAGAUGGGGGGGGGUUAGGGGAGGAUUGCACCCCCACCUUCCUCCCCCCCACCCCCCUUUUCUCUCCCCCCAACCCCAGGUAGGUGAGUUGUUUUCAGUGCUCUGCAGGGUCAGGGACCCCCCCCUCCCCGCCGGCUGCCGACCCCCAGAGCAGUACCCGUAUAUCCUGACCGGCAAGGGGGGGGGGGGGGGAGGGGAAAGGAGGGGAGGGGGGGGCACUGUAAGACCCCCAGGGUAUGAGGGGAGGGGGGGCCCCCCACCUGACCCCCCCCACCCCACCCCUCAGUCCCACCUGGUGCUGCACCCCCCCCCAGCCUGGUGGGGGUGGGUGGAGGGGCAGCUCCUGCCUGAGGCUUCAAGUCCCUGUAUGGGGGGGAGGGGGGGAAGGGAAGACCCCCCCCCCCCCCCACUCCCCCUCCCCCCGUGGGGGUGCAGUAGCGUCCCUGAGGGGUCCCAUGGGGGGUUGAGGUGGGGGGAGGGGGGGGCCUUCCUGAGAAGUGGUGGUGGGGAAAGGGCUGGGGGGCCCCCUGCCCCCCCCCCCCCCCCACUCCCUUGGUCCCUGGAGCCAGGUGGGUGGGUGGGGGGGGGGCAGCAACCACCCCGGUGCAAUUUAGGGGGGGGGGGUCCUACAGCAGAAGGGGCGCACCGGGGUGGGGAGGGCCCUCCCUUAAAGUGUCUGCGGGGGGAGGGUGAGAAGGGGGGGUGGGGGGGGGGGGGGGGGUGCUAAGUCCACUUUACUGGCCUUAAUGCAUGGAGACAUUCACUACGAACUAUUGCUAUUAUUAAAUAUUCCCAGCAGGUGGGGGGGGG
rnacentral:lncRNA from 1 species